rnacentral:lncRNA from 1 species
AGUCUCUAAGAGUUUGGAGGUCGGAUUCUAUGAUGACAGACUCUUUAGCAUCAAGAACAAUGUCACACAAAAACCCCUGCACAAGGAAUUUUGGAUCAUCCUGACCCAAAGUACCUACCUCGAUGAUAGCCCGAAGUGGUAUUUCCACCUCAAGCUCGAUUUGGGAUUGGGUUGACUGAGGCACUCAGUCAUCCCGACUAUUUCUCUCCUCAUCUCAUCACUGCCAGAAGAUAUUUUUGUAACAAAAAUAUGGAGAAAAGGAAGUAAAUGGGUUGACAAAGAAAAAUGAGUGGAAAAGGAUGGGAAACCUACUAAAGGAAAGUGAACAGAAAAACUAGAAACCUAAAGAUAUGGAGGAA